rnacentral:rRNA from 1 species
ACUGAAACAUCUAAGUACCCCGAGGAAGAGAAAUCAACCGAGAUUCCGGUAGUAGCGGCGAGCGAAACCGGAUUAGCCCUUAAGCUAGUUUUGCGUUAGGUGAAAGUUCUGGAAAGUUCUGCGAUACAGGGUGAUAGCCCCGUAACCGACAACGCAUUAUCAGUGAAAACGAGUAGGACGGGACACGUGAUAUCCUGUUUGAAUAUGGGGGGACCAUCCUCCAAGGCUAAAUACUCCUGACUGACCGAUAGUGAACCAGUACCGUGAGGGAAAGGCGAAAAGAACCCCUGUGAGGGGAGUGAAAUAGAACCUGAAACCGUGUACGUACAAGCAGUAGGAGCCUACUUGUUAGGUGACUGCGUACCUUUUGUAUAAUGGGUCAGCGACUUAAUUUUAGUAGCAAGGUUAACCGUUUAGGGGAGCCGUAGGGAAACCGAGUCUUAACUGGGCGAAAUAGUUGCUAGGAUUAGACCCGAAACCGAGUGAUCUAGCCAUGGGCAGGUUGAAGGUGAGGUAACACUUACUGGAGGACCGAACCGACUAAUGUUGAAAAAUUAGCGGAUGACUUGUGGCUAGGGGUGAAAGGCCAAUCAAACUCGGAGAUAGCUGGUUCUCCCCGAAAGCUAUUUAGGUAGCGCCUCGGACGAAUACUACUGGGGGUAGAGCACUGUUAAGGCUAGGGGGUCAUCCCGACUUACCAACCCUUUGCAAACUCCGAAUACCAGUAAGUACUAUCCGGGAGACACACGGCGGGUGCUAACGUCCGUCGUGAAGAGGGAAACAACCCAGACCGCCAGCUAAGGUCCCAAAGUUAUAGCUAAGUGGGAAACGAUGUGGGAAGGCUCAGACAGCCAGGAUGUUGGCUUAGAAGCAGCCAUCAUUUAAAGAAAGCGUAAUAGCUCACUGGUCGAGUCGGCCUGCGCGGAAGAUUUAACGGGGCUAAGCUAUACACCGAAGCUGCGGCAAUGAAGUUUACUUCAUUGGGUAGGGGAGCGUUCUGUAAGCCGUUGAAGGUGAAUCGUAAGGUUUGCUGGAGGUAUCAGAAGUGCGAAUGCUGACAUGAGUAACGAUAAAGGGAGUGAAAAACUCCCUCGCCGGAAGAUCAAGGGUUCCUGUCCAACGUUAAUCGGGGCAGGGUAAGUCGACCCCUAAGGCGAGGCCGAAAGGCGUAGUCGAUGGGAAACGGGUUAAUAUUCCCGUACUUCUUAUAAUUGCGAUGGAGGGACGGAGAAGGCUAGGUGAGCCUGGCGACGGUUGUCCAGGUCCAAGUAUGUAGGCUGAUGGUUUAGGCAAAUCCGGACCAUCUUAAGGCUGAGAUACGAUGUCGAGUUACUACGGU